UGACCACCACCAGGUCCUGGGAGGAUCUGAUGCUGCCCCACUUCGAUGAGCUGCUCCUCCAUCCAGACUGGGAAGUUUUUAAGAGUCAACGUCAAGCUGAAGGUUUCUGAAGUUCUCUUAAUUAUUUUGAGAAACUUUUCAAAGUUCUUGUAGUUGUUUUCACCGAGGUCCAAACACUCCAGCUUUUUCUGGGGGUUUGUAGACGCUCAAGAGAAACUUGAUUUUAAAUCUGUUGAAUCUUUUAAGUCUAUUUCCAAUUUAGUGAUUCAUCUUUCUGCUUCUCCAAAAUCUAUCUUAUGUUGUUACAGAGUCUACAUCCAAGAAGACCCUGGCAGACCCCAUCACCUGCUGGACUCUGAGCCCCUGCAUACUGGGUUACAGGUGAGAACAGAUUCCACCACCUACAAAAGAAACCUGGUACAGCAGUUUUAUCUGAUGCAUCCAGAUUCCCUAACCUCCUAACCUCUGCCAAUUUUAAUCUCUCCCAAACACCAGUGCUUUUCCCACUUUGAGGGACGGAUCUUCUUCAUUCUGGAC
rnacentral:lncRNA from 1 species